rnacentral:rRNA from 1 species
CGGCGGACGGGUGAGUAACACGUGGAUAACCUACCUAUAAGACUGGGAUAACUUCGGGAAACCGGAGCUAAUACCGGAUAAUAUAUUGAACCGCAUGGUUCAAUAGUGAAAGACGGUUUUGCUGUCACUUAUAGAUGGAUCCGCGCCGCAUUAGCUAGUUGGUAAGGUAACGGCUUACCAAGGCAACGAUGCGUAGCCGACCUGAGAGGGUGAUCGGCCACACUGGAACUGAGACGCGGUCCAG